rnacentral:rRNA from 1 species
GAUGAACGCUAGCGGGAGGCUUAAUACAUGCAAGUCGAGGGGUAACGAUGGACUUCGGUUCAGGCGACGACCGGCGCACGGGUGAGUAACGCGUACACAACCUACCUUUAAGUGAGGAAUAGCCCUGGGAAACUGGGAGUAAUACCUCAUAGUAUUGAUUUUUAGUAGUAUAGAUCAAUUAAAGCUCCGGCGCUUAAAGAUGGGUGUGCGUCCUAUUAGAUAGUUGGUGAGGUAAAGGCUCACCAAGUCCGCGAUAGGUAGGGGGCGUGAGAGCGUGAUCCCCCACACGGGUACUGAGACACGGACCCGACUCCUACGGGAGGCAGCAGUAAGGAAUAUUGGACAAUGGGCGAAAGCCUGAUCCAGCCAUCCCGCGUGCAGGAUGACGGCCCUAUGGGUUGUAAACUGCUUUUAGUUGGAACGAAACCCCUGGAUUUAUCCGGGGCUGACGGUACCUUCAGAAUAAGCACCGGCUAACUCCG